CUGGAAGUUAAGAUUGCCACCUGGAAACUUUGGGCUCCUCUUACCUUUAAGGCAACAGGCUAAGAAAGGAGUUACAGUGUUAUCUGGGGUGAUUGACCAGGACUGUGAAGAUGAAAUCAGUCUACUACUCCACAACGGAGUGAUCAUUCAACACCUGACCUGGAAGAAUUCAGAAUUCAGCGGGGGUACAUUCUCAGCUGGAAAAACUAUGUGCCCUGGAGGACAUUGAGGUAAAGGUGAGGAAUAGAAUGAUUUUGAACAAAUCAAAGAGAAGAAAAUCGUUUUAAAAGUCUGAAAAGAGAUAAUUUGGGAGUUAAGAGAGAAGACAGAAAUAAAACUAAAAGCUAAUUCUCUCUGGACUUGGAGAGGAAGGAGUAUCAGAGAAGCAGAGAAGAGAAAAAAGCUUAGAAAGCAGGAAGGAAGCUGAAAGAUGGAGAUGGUCAAGGGGUUACCACCAGUCUGUUUCUUGCGCUGAUAAUUUUUCUAGACAUUAGAUCUCACCAUUUGUUCCCAACGAAGAAAGAAAGACAGGACCACCAGACUCUACAGGUCCAGGCUCUGCAUUACCUUGAAUCAUAGCAUGUUAUUGUUGGAGAGAACUUUAAGGUCAUCCACAUCAUGGAGCUGAGGCCAAAAGGCUUCAGUGUGGGAUGGAGAAUACCCUGCAGGGCCAUAGUCCAGUUUUAGAUUAAUGGACUCCGGGCGUAGUUUGCUGCAGCCAAGCAUUGUUCACCUUCACUGGGAACACGGCAUCAUCAUCGUUUAUAUAAAAGAGAGACCAC